rnacentral:rRNA from 1 species
UCCAGACUCCUACGGGAGGCAGCAGUGAGGAAUAUUGGUCAAUGGUCGGGAGACUGAACCAGCCAAGCCGCGUGAGGGAUGAAGGUACAGAGUAUCGUAAACCUCUUUUGUCAGGGAACAAAGGCGGGGACGCGUCCCCGGAUGAGUGUACCUGAAGAAAAAGCAUCGGCUAACUCCGUGCCAGCAGCCGCGGUAAUACGGAGGAUGCGAGCGUUAUCCGGAUUUAUUGGGUUUAAAGGGUGCGCAGGCGGUCUGUUAAGUCAGCGGUCAAAGCCCGGGGCUCAACCUCGCUCCGCCGUUGAAACUGGCGUCCUUGAGUGGGCGAGAAGUAUGCGGAAUGCGUGGUGUAGCGGUGAAAUGCAUAGAUAUCACGCAGAACUCCGAUUGCGAAGGCAGCAUACCGGCGCCCAACUGACGCUGAAGCACGAAAGCGUGGGUAUCGAACAGGAUUAGAUACCCGGGUAUA